rnacentral:rRNA from 1 species
UACAGGGGGUGCAAACGUUGCUCGGAAUUAUUGGGCGUAAAGCGCGCGUAGGCGGCCACUUAAGUCGGAUGUGAAAGCCCCUGGCUCAACUGGGGAAGUGCACCCGAAACUGAAUGGCUUGAGUGCGAAAGAGGGUCGCGGAAUUCCCGGUGUAGAGGUGAAAUUCGUAGAUAUCGGGAGGAACACCGGUGGCGAAGGCGGCGACCUGGGUCGACACUGACGCUGAGGCGCGAAAGCGUGGGGAGCGAUCCGG